AGUGAACGCUGGCGGUAGGCCUAACACAUGCAAGUCGAACGGCAGCACAGUAAGAGCUUGCUCUUACGGGUGGCGAGUGGCGGACGGGUGAGGAAUACAUCGGAAUCUACUUUUUCGUGGGGGAUAACGUAGGGAAACUUACGCUAAUACCGCAUACGACCUACGGGUGAAAGCAGGGGAUCUUGGGACCUUGCGCGAUUGAAUGAGCCGAUGUCGGAUUAGCUAGUUGGCGGGGUAAAGGCCCACCAAGGCGACGAUCCGUAGCUGGUCUGAGAGGAUGAUCAGCCACACUGGAACUGAGACACGGUCCAGACUCCUACGGGAGGCAGCAGUGGGGAAUAUUGGACAAUGGGCGCAAGCCUGAUCCAGCCAUACCGCGUGGGUGAAGAAGGCCCUCGGGUUGUAAAGCCCUUUUGUUGGGAAAGAAAAGCAGCAGGUUAAUACCCCGCUGUUCUGACGGUACCCAAAGAAUAAGCACCGGCUAACUUCGUG
rnacentral:rRNA from 1 species